CUGCGGGUGUUUCCAUGUACUCGAACGACAGCGCGAGAGAGCUUUCUCUCUUGGCGGCGAGUGGCGGACGGGUGAGUAAUAUAUCGGAACGUGCCCAGUAGCGGGGGAUAACUACUCGAAAGAGUGGCUAAUACCGCAUACGCCCUACGGGGGAAAGGGGGGGAUCGCAAGACCUCUCACUAUUGGAGCGGCCGAUAUCGGAUUAGCUAGUUGGUGGGGUAAAGGCUCACCAAGGCAACGAUCCGUAGCUGGUUUGAGAGGACGACCAGCCACACUGGGACUGAGACUCUUUUCCAGACUCCUACGGGAGGCAGCAGUGGGGAAUUUUGGACAAUGGGGGAAACCCUGAUCCAGCCAUCCCGCGUGUAUGAUGAAGGCCUUCGGGUUGUAAAGUACUUUUGGCAGAGAAGAAAAGGUAUCCCCUAAUACGGGAUACUGCUGACGGUAUCUGCAGAAUAAGCACCGGCUAACUACGUGCCAGCAGCCGCGGUAAUACGUAGGGUGCAAGCGUUAAUCGGAAUUACUGGGCGUAAAGCGUGUGUAGGCGGUCGCAAAGAAAGAUGUGUGUGGGGAAGAAUGUGACUUAGGGCUACCUUGGAACUGCAUUUUAACUGCCGAGCUAGAGUAUGUCAGAGGGGGGUAGAAUUCCACGUGUAGCAGUGAAAUGCGUAGAUAUGUGGAGGAAUACCGAUGGCGAAGGCAGCCCCCUGGGAUAAUACUGACGCUCAGACACGAAAGCGUGGGGAGCAAACAGGAUUAGAUACCCUGGUAGUCCACGCCCUAAACGAUGUCAACUUAGCUGUUGGGGCCGUUAGGCCUUAGUAGCGCAGCUAACGCGUGAAGUUGACCGCCUGGGGAGUACGGUCGCAAGAUUAAAACUCAAAGGAAUUGACGGGGACCCGCACAAGCGGUGGAUGAUGUGGAUUAAUUCGAUGCAACGCGAAAAACCUUACCUACCCUUGACAUGUCUGGAAAGCCGAAGAGAUUUGGCCGUGCUCGCAAGAGAACCGGAACACAGGUGCUGCAUGGCUGUCGUCAGCUCGUGUCGUGAGAUGUUGGGUUAAGUCCCGCAACGAGCGCAACCCUUGUCAUUAGUUGCUACGCAAGAGCACUCUAAUGAGACUGCCGGUGACAAACCGGAGGAAGGUGGGGAUGACGUCAAGUCCUCAUGGCCCUUAUGGGUAGGGCUUCACACGUCAUACAAUGGUCGGGACAGAGGGUCGCCAACCCGCGAGGGGGAGCCAAUCUCAGAAACCCGAUCGUAGUCCGGAUCGCAGUCUGCAACUCGACUGCGUGAAGUCGGAAUCGCUAGUAAUCGCGGAUCAGAAUGUCGCGGUGAAUACGUUCCCGGGUCUUGUACACACCGCCCGUCACACCAUGGGAGUGGGUUUCACCAGAAGUAGGAGCCAACCGAAGAGGCGAGUCCACGG
rnacentral:rRNA from 1 species